UGGGGAAUAUUGCACAAUGGAGGGAACUCUGAUGCAGCAACGCCGCGUGCGGGAUGACGGCCUUCGGGUUGUAAACCGCUUUCAGCCAUGACGAAGCUUUUGUGACGGUAGUGGUAGAAGAAGCACCGGCUAACUACGUGCCAGCAGCCGCGGUGAUACGUAGGGUGCGAGCGUUGUCCGGAAUUAUUGGGCGUAAAGAGCUUGUAGGCGGUUUGUCGCGUCGAAAGUGUAAACUCAGUGCUUAACGCUGAGCCUGCUUUCGAUACGGGCUGACUAGAGGUGGGUAGGGGAGAAUGGAAUUCCCGGUGGAGCGGUGGAAUGCGCAGAUAUCGGGAGGAACACCAGUGGCGAAGGCGGUUCUCUGGACCUUUCCUGACGCUGAGAAGCGAAAGCGUGGGUAGCAAACAGG
rnacentral:rRNA from 1 species